AACCAGGUAAUGUCUCAGGUUAUAACCAGGUUAUAACCUGUUUAUAACCAGGUUAUGUCUCAGGUUUUUACUUGGUAAUAACCAGGUAAUGUCUCAGGUUAUAAUAUAACCUGAGACAUUACCUGGUUAUAACCUGGUCAUAUCCUGAGACAUUACCUGGUU